rnacentral:lncRNA from 1 species
CUUGGAUUUCAGUCCUGGCUCUACAACUUACUCACUGUGUGACUUUAGCCAUGCUGGCUGGAGCCACAGCAGUUUACUCCCAGUUCAUUACUCAGCUAACAGACGAAAACCAGUCAUGUUGCCCCGUUUGUCAGAGAGUUUUUCAGACAGAGGCUGAGUUACAAGAAGUCAUCAGUGAUUUGCAGUCUAAACUGCGACUUGCUCCAGAUAAACUCAAGUCAACAGAAUCAGAGCUAAAAAAAAAGGAAAAGCGGCGUGAUGAAAUGCUGGGACUUGUGCCCAUGAGAAUAUGCCCUUGAUGCCACCACUAUCAUGAGAACUGUCUAUUCAUG